rnacentral:misc_RNA from 1 species
CCGAGUUUUCAACUCCCAAACCCUUAUGUGAACCUACCUACUGUUGCUUCGGCGGACUCGCCCCAGCCGGACGCGGACUGGACCAGGCGGCCGCCGGAGACCCCUAAACUCUUGUAUUAUCAGCAUCUUCUGAAUCCGCCGCAAGGCACAACAAAUAAAUUA